rnacentral:lncRNA from 1 species
UAAUUAUGUUCUUUUUUUUUUUAGUUGCCUUUGUUAUCACUUGAUUAGUUUGCUUACUGUUGAAACAUGGUUUUAAUUUUGUAAAUUUAAUGAUAUGAAAUUUACUCUAUUAAUCAUUAGUUGACAGUUAAAGAGAAGCUGGAGCUUUACAUAAUAAAGGCAUUGGAAGGCUUUACUUGACUUUCUUUUUAUGGUACCUGCUGUGUUGUAACAGAUCUUAAA